rnacentral:tRNA from 1 species
UCCCUGAUAGUCUAUCGGCUAAGACUCCCAUGCUCCCAAAGCAGAGGCCUGGGUUCAAUCCCUGGUCAGGGAA